UUUUUUACUUUAUUUUUAGUGUAGCUCUUGUUGAUCAUUAUACCGGACUGUUUACUUUUAGAGAUAUUCUAUUUCUAGAUGUUCAAGGACAUGCAUACAUUCUUGAUUACACUGUGUGUGCUGCUUCAAUGAAAAAAGGUGAAAAUAAGAUGUCGUGUUUAAAUUUUGUGAGGUAGGAUAUUUUUUGUGUUCCAGGGUGUUCUGUCUCAAAUUACACCAGUUUUAAAAUACUUCUGAUUGAUUUGUUCUGUAUGUUUUCUCUCAUUGACAAAAACACACAAAAAGACAAAAAUAAUAAAUAUUGUAUACCUAUACAUCUUUGUAAGAACUCUGAAAUGGAUAUAAAUAAGAAAGAUUAGUAAUUUGUCACUUUUAUACAAAGAAAUGGACAUACAGAAAUCUAUAUGCCACUUUUCUUCAUCUGUUACAACAUAGCCAUACUCUAGGGUCUAUGACUGAGGUUGCAUCUAAAACAAAAACAAAAUUGUAAAUUAUUAGUGUUUGAGAACGUUGGUGUCACUUCCAUCAAAUGGGUCCAUGACUGAAACAUCCUCUCGGCUGCAUCUGCAAAAAAAAUCUGUAGUGUUUUGGAGAACGUUGGUGUCACUUUCAUCAAACGGGCCCUUUAACAAGCUCAUGGUAGAGUGAUCUUGUUACUAUUGUAUAGUGCUGCGGAAACUAUGCGCUACCCUCCCUGGUCUAGUACAACGGAGUCUAUUCAAGGUCUAUGACUGUAACAUCCCCCUGCUGCAAUCUGCAAAAAUCAAAAUUAUAGAAUUAAACAUCUGUUGGUGAACUCUGAAAUGAAACAUAAAUAAAUAUACAAAAUUACAUACGGGCAUAUAAGAAUAAAAUCAAUUAAACUUUAUUUUAUUUUCUUUAAAGUAAAAUUCAAAAUUUAAAUUUUUUUUUUUAAUCAACUUUUUUUUACUUUAUUUUUCCAUGAAAUUUAGCAUUGUAACUGCUGUAAAAAUACCAAAACUAUUGCCAUUUGGCUUAGUUAGUCUGUUUCUUAUGUUACCUUUUCUGACAUGGGACACAGACUUCUUUUUAAAUGAGUUUUACUGUGUGAAUUGUUUUUUCUACGUUGGCUCCUAGAGGUAUAGGUGUGGGUUGAGAUCUCUCAAACCUGUUUAACCCACUGUAUUUAUGCACCUGUCUCUAGUUAGAACCCUCUGGCCUUUGUUAGUCUUGUAUGUUUUUUUUAAUUUUAGUUCAUUUAUAUGUUUUUGAGUUUAGUAUGACAUCCACUUUUACUGAACUAGUACACAUUUUUGUGUAGGGCCUGCUGAAGCCUGCCUCCUGAUGCUGAGUUUUCUGGUUGAGUUGAAGAGCCAUUAGUGGCCUUCGGCUGUUUUCUGCUCUUUGGUUGGGUUGUUGUCUCUGACAUUAUUUUCAAUUUUGUAUAAGAUUCAUAUUUUUUGUUGGAAAAACCAGUCACCAAACCUGUUGUGUGCGGUGGCUCCCUUGUUUCAUUUUUUAUUUUGACAUUCUGUUCUUUUUAUUAUCUGACCAAGCUGAGCAACCUUCUACUACAAUGGUACC
rnacentral:lncRNA from 1 species